UCGGUUUCGAGAGUGCCAGUAAGCUCUCGCUGCUUUGCCACCUCUGCCACUGAGGUGGGCUUCUUGGGCGUGACGCUCUCAUCGGUGCUGAAAGAGAUCUGGCUCAUGGCAGCAACUGUUUGCUGAUAAACUCGUAAGCCUGUUUUGUUCGGAGUUGCGAAAGCGCCACCAGAUUCAGAUGCACCAUUUUCAUUGUCCGAUGCAAAGAUACCACUGCCGG
rnacentral:misc_RNA from 1 species